rnacentral:rRNA from 1 species
UGUAAGCGUAUACCAAAGUUGUUGCAGUUAAAACGCUCGUAGUCGGAAUUUGGCAGUUCCGGAUGUGUGCACGUCGUGUGCGCACUUCGCGGGGAUUGCUUUUGUGGUCUUGCGUAGGAUGAGGCACUUUUAUUAGUGAACGUCCUCACGCAACCACUUUUUACUGUGAGAAAAUCAGAGUGCUCAAAGCAGGCAUUUGCCGUGAAUGUAUUAGCAUGGAAUAAUAGAAUAGGACUUGGUUCUAUUUUGUUGGUUUGUUGGGACUGAGUAAUGAUUAAGAGGGACAGUUGGGGGCAUUUGUAUUUCGGUGCUAGAGGUGAAAUUCUUAGAUUACCGAAAGACAAACUGCUGCGAAAGCGUCUGCCUAGGAUGUUUUCAUUGA